GGGUGUGACCAUACCAGCACUGACGCCUCGGAUCCCAUCAGAACUCCGAAGUUAAGCAAGCUUUGGCGAGAGUAGUACUAGGAUGGGUGACCUCCUGGGAAGUCCUCGUGUUGCACCCC
rnacentral:rRNA from 1 species